ensembl:lncRNA
GAAAGCAGUAGGACAAGAGUCAUUCAUCAGAUACAAGGGCUCCACAAUGAGAUUAAUAGUUGAUUUCGUAUCAGAAAUCAUGGAGGCCAAAAGGAGGUGGGAUUAUAUAUUUAAUGUGCUUAAAGAAAAACACUGUAAAGCACAAAUUAUAUAACUGGCAAAACUAUCUUUCAAAAAUGAAGGACAAAUUAAGACAUGGCUAGGUUAAAAAAAAAAAGGAAAAGAGAGUUUGUCAUUACCAGACCUGCCGACAACAAAUACUAAAGGCAGUCCUUCAGCCUAAAAUGAGAGGACUCUAGACAAUAACUAAAUUCUACAUAAAGAAAUAAAGAACACCAGGAAAGGUAACUACAUAGGUAAAUAUAUUUUUGAAAGAUAUUUUCUCUUUUUAAAUCCUUUUUUAACUAUUUGAUUUAAAAGAGAACUGCAUAAAGGCAAUAAUUAUAAAUCUAGGUUGAUGGAUAUAUAAUGUAUAAAGAUGCAAUCUGUGAUAACAGCAGAAAGGUGGCGUGGGGAAUGGAGAUAUAUAGAAGCAGACAUUUGUAUACCACUGAAGAUACAUUGGUAUUAACAUGUCCUAGAUUGUUAUACAUUUAAGAUGUUAUUUGUAGUCCUCCAGGCAACCACUAAGUAAGUAACUCAAAAAUAUAGUAAAAGAAGUAACAAGUUAAUUAAAAUGAGACACCAGAAAAUAUCAAUUUAAUAAAAUAAAUUAUACACUAAUGGAGGAAUUGAGGAAGUAAAAGGACAUAGACAACAAAUAGCAAAAUGGUAGAAGUUCUUCCUUAUCAGCAAUUGCUUUAAAUGUAAAUGGCUAAGCUCUCCAAUUAAAAGGGAAAGAUUGGCACAACAGAUUAGAAAACAUGAUCUAACUACAUGCUGUCUACAAGAGGCUCACUUUAGGUCCAAAGACACUAGAACAUUGAAAAUGAAAGAAUGGAAAAAAGAUAUUCCAUACAAAUAAUUAUCUACAGAAAGCUGGAGUGGCUAUCCUAAUAUUAGACAAAAUAGACUCUAAGUCAAAAAUUGUUAUAAGACAUAAAGAAAGAUUUUAUAUAUCUAUAAACAUGGCAAUCUAAGAAAACAUAAUAAUCAUUCACAUAUACAUAUCUCACUACAGAGCACCAAAACAUAUGUAGCAAAAACUGGCAGAAUCGGAUGGAGUAGACAUUCCACAAUAAUGAGAAUUCUUAUAAAAAUAGAAAAUCUAGACAGAUUAUCGCAAGGGAAUACAAGAUUGAACAACCAUAUAUACCAAAGUCCUAGCAGACAGCUAUAGAAGACUCAAUCCAAUAACAACAGAAUACACAUUUUUCACAGGUUCUCAUGGUGCAUUUUCAGAAUAGACCAUAUGUUAGGCCACAAAUCAAGUCUAAAUAAAUUUUAAAAGAUUGAAAUAAUACAAAGUAUCUUCUUCAGGCAAAAUGGAAGGAAAAUAUGGAAACUGGAAAAUUCACAAAUAUUUUGGAAUUAAACUACACAGUCUUAAACACACAAUGGGUCAAAGGAGUGAUCACAAGGGAAAGUAGAAAAUACUUUGAAGAGGACAAAAACAAUACAGCAUAGCAAAAUUUGUGGGAGACAGUGAAAGCACUGCUCAGAGGGGAAUUUACAGCUGUGAGAGCCUGAUUAAAAUUAAGAAAGAUAUCAAAUCAAUAACCUAACAUUACACCUCAAGGAAAUAGAAAAAAAGAGCAAACUAAAUCCAAAACUAGCAGAAGAAAGGAAACAGUAAACAUUAUAGCAGAGAUAAAUGAAGGAGAAUAAAGAAAUAAAGAGAAUUAAUGAAAACAAAAAAUGGUUCUUUGAAAAAAUCAAAUUGACAAGUCUUCAGCAAGAAUGACUUAGAAUAAAAUAAGACUCAAAUUGCUAAAAUCAGAAAUGAAAAUGGGGUUAUUACUACCGAUCUUAUUAACAUAAAAUGGAUUAUAAAACAAUUGGGGCAGGCCAGUGGCGCAGUGGUUAAGUGCCCACGUUCUGCUUCUCAGUGGCCCGGGGUUCACUGGUUCGGAUCCCAGGUGGGGACAUGGCACCGCGCAUCAAGCCAUGCUGUGAUAGGCGUCCCACAUAUAAAGCAGAGGAAGAUGGGCAUGGAUGUUAGCUCAGGGCCAGUCUUCCUCAGCAAACAGAGAAGGAUUGGCGGUGGCUGUUUGCUCAGGGCUAGUCUUUCUCA